GGUUUCCAACAGAGACUGGGUUGCGGAAUGUUCGAACCCACCAGGAACUGUCGGGGUUUUGCUCGGGGUGGGAGGACCGGAUGGCCUGGCUGUUUAAGAGUUAGUGUGGAAUCCACAGAGCUCGAGAUGCCUGAGGCCACAGGGAAAGAAGGAAGAUAUUCACCAAGGAGAAUGACAUUAAAGUCUCACACAGUAACUCUGGAGAUCUGUUUGCCUUGUGAAGACAGAAUGUUGGCCUGGGUGUCCUCAUCUGAUAACCUUCUAAAGCUGGAGGGUGGAUUUCCUCUGAAGUGUCUCCAUCAAGCUCAGAAUUUUAGAAUACCAUGUUAAGAAACUAAGAUGGGGGCGCCUGGGUGGCUCAGUGGGUUAAAGCCUCUGCCU